rnacentral:lncRNA from 1 species
GGUGAGCGUCAUAAAUGCUCGUCGUAUCCACAGUAAGGUUUACCGUAUAUAACCAUCGAUACAUCAUUCUCACUUUCAUCAAUUUGCAUGCAUUUGUAUCGUUAAAUUUUGUUUUCUCUAGAAUACUCUAUUCUGCAUGCAAGUUUCCAUAUAUCAUACAUACUAUGUGCACCUAUCACUUCAUCAUACCCAAUCGGUUAUGUUAACAUCCCACACAUGCUCAUUCACAUG